rfam:Hanseniaspora uvarum DSM 2768 Contig_25, whole genome shotgun sequence.
AACUUUCAACAACGGAUCUCUUGGUUCUCGCAUCGAUGAAGAACGUAGCGAAUUGCGAUAAGUAAUGUGAAUUGCAGAUACUCGUGAAUCAUUGAAUUUUUGAACGCACAUUGCGCCCUUGAGCAUUCUCAGGGGCAUGCCUGUUUGAGCGUCA